rnacentral:lncRNA from 1 species
GGGCAGCCCCCGUCCCGUGACGCCUCACUCAGAACACGGCGUGGCCCAGGGGACGGCUGUGUCCCCGGCUCCGGCCGUGGCUGCCCCGGGCUGUGAAACCCGCCCGACAAUGGGUCGCGUUCCCCGCCAGCCCUAAUGAUGCUGCUCGGCCGUCCCACCGUGCCCCCGAGGGGCCUGGGCCGCGUCCCUGCGAGGGAGGGGACCGGGAGGGGGCCGUCGGAGCUGCCCCGUCCUCCUGCGAGACGAGCGGCGAGCGACGGCACUCGGACAGGGCCAGUGCCAUUGCCAUUGCCAUGUCCCCAACCCCGGGGUGGCCGCUGGUGGCGGGGAGAUUCCGGAGGAACUGGUCCCCCCGCGACGCCCUGGCACGGGGCCUCGGCCCUCCGCAGCCCCACGGGAACCAAACGCAGACUGCUGGAGCGGGGAGCCGCUGCGUGGAGCUGAUCUCUGUGGCUGGAAUCCCACCCGGCAGCAGGAGGAAGGACCCCAGGCCCAUAGCGAGGCAGCGUCUGGCCCACAAAGGGUUACGCAAGGCAGCACCCAGGAGUGUCACCGCUGCCACCAACCCUGGCGCUCAGCUCCUUCCUGGUCAGAUUCAGCCACGGGGGACGAGCCGCAGUGCGGUGAGUGCUGGGGGACGGGGACAC